rnacentral:rRNA from 1 species
GAGUUUGAUCGUGGCUCAGGACGAACGCUGGCGGCGUGCCUAAAACAUGCAAGUCGAACGAGAUCUUCGGAUCUAGUGGCGAACGGCGGAGUAAGACAUGAGCAACGUGCCCCUAUGACUGGGAUAUACAGAGGAAACUCUGGGCAAUACCGGAUGUGGCCAACCAUUGGCAUCUUUGGUUGACUAAACGGAUUUAUUCGCAUAGGGAGCGGCUCAUGACCCAUCAGGUAGUUGGUAGGGUAACGGCCUACCAAGCCGACGACGGGUAGCGGGUCUGAGAGGAUGAUCCGCCCGAGUGGGACUGAGACACGGCCCACACACCUACGGGUGGCAGCAGUUGGGAAUCUUGCACAAUGGGGGAAACCCUGAUGCAGCGACG